rnacentral:rRNA from 1 species
AUGCAAGUCGAGCGCAGGAAACUGACGGAACUCUUCGGAGGGAAGGCAGCGGAAUGAGCGGCGGACGGGUGAGUAACACGUAAGGAACCUGCCUCAAGGAUUGGGAUAACUCCGAGAAAUCGGAGCUAAUACCGGAUAGUUCAUCGGACCGCAUGGUCCGUUGAUGAAAGGCGCUCCGGCGUCACCUUGAGAUGGCCUUGCGGUGCAUUAGCUAGUUGGUGGGGUAACGGCCCACCAAGGCGACGAUGCAUAGCCGACCUGAGAGGGUGAUCGGCCACACUGGGACUGAGACACGGCCCAGACUCCUACGGGAGGCAGCAGUAGGGAAUCUUCCACAAUGGACGAAAGUCUGAUGGAGCAACGCCGCGUGAGUGAUGAAGGUUUUCGGAUCGUAAAACUCUGUUGUAAGGGAAGAACACGUACGAGAGGGAAUGCUCGUACCUUGACGGUACCUUACGAGAAAGCCACGGCUAACUACGUGCCAGCAGCCGCGGUAAUACGUAGGUGGCAAGCGUUGUCCGGAAUUAUUGGGCGUAAAGCGCGCGCAGGCGGCCUUUUAAGUCUGAUGUGAAAGCCCCCGGCUCAACCGGGGAGGGCCAUUGGAAACUGGAAGGCUUGAGUACAGAAGAGAAGAGUGGAAUUCCACGUGUAGCGGUGAAAUGCGUAGAAA